rnacentral:lncRNA from 1 species
UUUUUGUUUGGAUAAAUGUGAGGGCACAUGAUGAGCUGUCCCUUUCAUAUUGCUAGACCCCUGACCUCUACCUUUCUCCUGUUAAAGUUCCACAGGUGUUGGGAUCUGGAAAGCCAAUGGAAAUGAGACAAGUGGACGUGACCAGCUCAGAUCUACUUGGCUCUGACAACCUAAACGAGGUCACACCACAGAAAAGUCAAAAAAAUGAGUUGAACAAAUGGACAGGUUUUCUUCAUUGUGAAAGAGCCUCUAAGCAGGAGUUUCUGAGAGGUGUGUUGAGGGCCCCAGGGAAAUGCUCAGUAAGUUAAAUAUUGACAGCUCUGUUCACUAUUUGGCUUUCACUGUGUAGUGUUUAAUGAUGCACAGAGUUAGGACCUGCUGUGUUUGGUGCUGUAUAGAGUGAGGAAAAUUUAAAAUUGCCCUUGUAAAGACCUUGGAAUCAUAACAUAUAAGGAGCAAAUGUGCCCAUAGCUUUUCAGGCAAGAAGCUUUGCUGUGAAGGAAUAAAUGAGAUGCAAGAGCAGAUUUAACUCA